rnacentral:rRNA from 1 species
AUACGGAGGAUCCGAGCGUUAUCCGGAUUUAUUGGGUUUAAAGGGUGCGCAGGCGGCCAUUUAAGUCAGCGGUUAAAUCGUGGGGCUCAACCCCAUUCUGCCGUUGAUACUGGGUGGCUUGAUUGCGGUCGAGGUUGGCGGAAUUCGUUGUGUAGCGGUGAAAUGCAUAGAUAUGACGAAGAACACCGAUUGCGUAGGCAGCUGACCAGACCGCAAAUGACGCUCGUGCACGAAAGUGCGGGGAUCGAACAGGAUUAGAUACCCUGGUAGUCCGCACAGUAAACGAUGAAUACUUGUUUUCGGCGAUAUAAUGUCGGAGGCAAAGCGAAAGCGAUAAGUAUUCCACCUGGGGAGUACGCCGGCAACGGUGAAACUCAAAGGAAUUGGCGGGG